GGGGUCCUCCUCCAGGGGCCAGGGGGUCUGGUUAUAUUGUCCCCUCAAGUGAACCUGGGCCGUCGGAUCAAACCGACAUUGAUUGAAUGGUUAUUCUUGAUCCUUUAGGUCGGUGGAGAUCUCCCGAGAGAAAGAGUCCUGAUUGGGCUCCAGAGGUGGGCGGGCGCCCAGGGAAACAGGGCGGGCGCCCUGCCUUUGGCCCCGUUUGGCCUCCGCUUCCUUCUCGUGGCUUCUGGAGUCUUCUAGAUGUAAGAUAAUUGCGCGGCACGUUAAUAUCUCUAUGUAAUCCCGACGUGUGGGCCUUUCUUCCGUAUUUCAUGAUAACCCCCUGCAGAAAUAGACAAACACCAAAACUCGUGGAAUUCUGUCACAUAAAACCCUAAGUCUAGAUGUUGAUUUCAUUUGGAUCCUUUUCUUUGUUUAUUUGAUAAUUAAAUUUGAUACUUAAGGACCGUCAACAAACUCCCCCAAGCUUACCUCUUGCUCGUCCCUGAGCAAGGAUAGUCUCAGCAAUGGAUCAGAAGUUGUUGCAAUAUCUUAAAAAUUUAACGGUACACAUGCUUUUAAAUAAGAUCUCAUCUCUGAGUUAGAGUAAACUGUCAAGAACUAAAACUUACUUAGUUUACCUUUCACUAUGGGACUUGUAACCGUCACUUCUGUCUUGAGUAGUUAAAAGAUAGAGCAGUCGAGCCAAGUGCCAUGUCUCUUAUUCUUGAUCAGCUAUAGCUCUAGAGUUUUUGUAGAUUUUCAAAUAAAACUCAGUGAUUCCUUGUAUGACUCUCUAAAUCUCUCUUUUAUGGUAUUUCUGGAUCCUUAACAAGGCAGUGAUGGUAUAUGCCUUCUCUCAAGAUAUGUGGUAUUUGUGGUAUAAGGCAUAGUGACAUUGCCUUCUCUCUCACCCUACUCUAAUAAGGCUUUAAUAUCUGGAGCUCAUAGGUGGGAGAUAAAGUAUACAUACUUACAAGACAUUUAUUGUAUAGUCAAACCAUGGAUCCAAAGAAACUAAUCAAUAAACCAAAUCAAGAUGUGCAUGUGUGGCGAAUGAAUGGUGUAUGGUGAUGAUGGUGAUAACAAUGGUGAAAGUCUAAUUCUACUUUUGCUCUUUUGAGGGGAUACAUACCUUCCUUGCUUUUUGAAACUUUAUGAGGAGAAUGAGAUGCUAUUCUUUUUCUUUCCUCUCAGGUGGGUAUCUUGUACCCCUAAUUCUACUGUCGGACACUUAUCCAUUUUUAACUCUCGUCUCGCUUUUUCUUUCUUUCGAGGUUCCGGGCACUUGCCCCUUUUUAUUUCCUCGUUUAUUUAUUUUUUUUCUUCUCUUUUCUUUUUUUGUUCAGAGCACUCAUCUCUUGAGAUAAUAUAGCAAGUGGUAGUAGCAAAAUAACUUGAGCAUUUAUUUCACAAGGGAAAACAGAAAUAUUUUUGGCUAUUCUCUCCUGGAUUUGGAGUAGAAUAUUUUUGGGUGGUUCUGCUGAUGGACAUGGAUGGAUAUAUGUGGAUGAUACUUCCAGAGUAGAAGUAGCAUAUAUGAGUGAACGUGCAAGUGAAUCUUGAUUUAACCACAUGACAAGCUCCUAAGGGUCUACACAGCUUGACCACACUUAAUGCUCAUAAGCAGUAAAUAGUAAAUGUGUGGCUCAAAGUCUAGCAAGCAUGUAUAUAUGGCUGUGGUAGGAAUUUAAACUCUCAUCAUACAGGAACUCAUCAUGCAAUAUUUUAAAGGUUUUUCAAAGAUAAAAUUCUUCAGAAUUCUAGCAUCUCUAGGAACAGAUAAACAACAGCUCAACCUUCCCAUAUCAUAUCCGUUAACAACUUAGAUUUCAGAUCAAGUUUUCAUCCCACAAGUUUAGAUCUAGAGCAAGCUUUAAAUUAUAACAGCUAUGUCUAAACUUGAGAGAGAACUUCAAAUUUACAAAUUAGGCAGAGCAACUAUUCAUCAUAUCCAUGCUAGAGUUUUAUUAUUAAGAUUCAGAUUAGCAUAGCCACUUUAUUUAUUUAUUAAACACACUAAGCAAAAGAUAUAUAUAUAAGCACAAAAUCUUUAUUUGGUUUUUCAUAGUUUAUGUAUUUAAUAUUCUAACAUAAUAUAAGUAUAAAGAUAGGUAGAAAUACUUAGCGAGAUAAAUGGGGAUGCUCUCCCCCAAGCUGAAUUUUGACGUAAUUUCUCUUGAUGUAGCUAACAGGUGGCAGAGGUGUAUUUGAAAGUCAGUAGUAUUCUGACACGAUUAGAAUGCCCUCCGUCUGCUAAUCUUCUUGAUUCUUAAAUUCUCUGGAGCUCAAAUAGACAACAAAGCUUGUGGAACUAAUUAAGUGUUAGCAUAAAUAUCUAGCGUUCAUCAAGUUGAGCUUCUUCAAUAAAUAUUACUCCCUGUUUUUAUAUUUUUAUUUUAUAAAGCAGAAAAGAAAUAUUUAUUUUAUUUUUAUGCCACCACAGUGAAGGUACUUAUGGGUUUUAUGCCACUCGUAUACUCACAUGGGGCUUAGUAUUAUUUAACAUUUUUAUUUUCUUUUCAAGAUAGCAUGAUUAACUAAUAAUCUAUUUAAGGCAAGUAAAUAAUUAAAGGGAAAAGGGAAUGCAGAAAGGAUAAAUAUGGAUAACUACCAAUUUUACCUUUCGGCGAGGGUGCAAUGUUUUAUGUCUUCUGAACAAGACUUCUCACCGUGUUUAUUCUUUAGGUGCGUCAUUUGAUUCAGGUGCGGACCUUGACGUCUGCACCUCUUAAUACGGUGUCACUCAUGUUCUUCGUUUGCCCAGUAGUUCGAAGUGCGGUGUUGGCAGUAUCUUGCUCAGUGUGUUUGUGCUCGUAGUGUAACUGCUCACAGAGACAAGGCAGAGAUCAAGUGCAUGGGCC
rnacentral:lncRNA from 1 species